AUUGAACGCUGGCGGAAUGCUUUACACAUGCAAGUCGAACGGCAGCACGGGGGCAACCCUGGUGGCGAGUGGCGAACGGGUGAGUAAUACAUCGGAACGUGCCCAGUCGUGGGGGAUAACGUAGCGAAAGUUACGCUAAUACCGCAUACGAUCUACGGAUGAAAGCGGGGGACCGUAAGGCCUCGCGCGAUUGGAGCGGCCGAUGUCAGAUUAGGUAGUUGGUGAGGUAAAGGCUCACCAAGCCGACGAUCUGUAGCUGGUCUGAGAGGACGACCAGCCACACUGGGACUGAGACACGGCCCAGACUCCUACGGGAGGCAGCAGUGGGGAAUUUUGGACAAUGGGCGCAAGCCUGAUCCAGCAAUGCCGCGUGCAGGAAGAAGGCCUUCGGGUUGUAAACUGCUUUUGUACGGAGCGAAAAGGCUCUCUCUAAUACAGGGGGCUCAUGACGGUACCGUAAGAAUAAGCACCGGCUAACUACGUGCCAGCCGCCGCAGUAAAAC
rnacentral:rRNA from 1 species